rnacentral:rRNA from 1 species
AAACUUUCAACAACGGAUCUCUUGGUUCUGGCAUCGAUGAAAGAACGCAGCGAAAUGCGAUAAGUAAUGUGAAUUGCAGAAUUCAGUGAAUCAUCGAAUCUUUGAACGCACAUUGCGCCCCUUGGUAUUCCGGGGGGCAUGCCUGUUCGAGCGUCAUUA